UCGAUACGGUCUAGCUAGAGUGUGGUAGGGGAGACUGGAAUUCCUGGUGUAGCGGUGGAAUGCGCAGAUAUCAGGAGGAACACCGACGGCGAAGGCAGGUCUCUGGGCCAUUACUGACACUGAGGAGCGAAAGCGUGGGGAGCGAACAGGAUUAGAUACCCUGGUAGUCCACGCCGUAAACGGUGGGCGCUAGUUGUGCGAACCUUCCACGGUUUGUGCGACGCAGCUAACGCAUUAAGCGCCCCGCCUGGGGAGUACGAUCGCAAGAUUAAAACUCAAAGGAAUUGACGGGGCCCCGCACAAGCAGCGGAGCAUGCGGCUUAAUUCGACGCAACGCGAAGAACCUUACCAAGGCUUGACAUAUACAGGAAUACGGCAGAGAUGUCGUAGCCGCAAGGUCUGUAUACAGGUGGUGCAUGGUUGUCGUCAGCUCGUGUCGUGAGAUGUUGGGUUAAGUCCCGCAACGAGCGCAACCCUCGUUCUGUGUUGCCAGCAUUUAGUUGGGGACUCACAGGAGACUGCCGGGGUUAACUCGGAGGAAGGUGGGGAUGACGUCAAAUCAUCAUGCCCCUUAUGUCUUGGGCUGCACGCAUGCUACAAUGGCUGGUACAAACGGCUGCAAUACCGCAAGGUGGAGCGAAUCCGAGAAAGCCAGUCUCAGUUCGGAUUGGGGUCUGCAACUCGACCCCAUGAAGUCGGAGUUGCUAGUAAUCGUAGAUCAGCAACGCUACGGUGAAUACGUUCCCGGGGCUUGUACACACCGCCCGUCACGUCACGAAAGUCGGUAACACCCAAAGUCAGUGGCCCAACCGUAAG
rnacentral:rRNA from 1 species